GCGUUAUCCGGAUUUAUUGGGCGUAAAGCGUGUGUAGGCGGUCUAUUAAGUCUAAGAUCAAAGUCCGAGGCUCAACCUCGGUCCGUCUUAGAUACUGGUAGACUUGAGUGUGGUAGAGGCAAGUGGAAUUUCUAGUGUAGCGGUUAAAUGCGUAGAUAUUAGAAGGAACACCAGUGGCGAAGGCGGCUUGCGUGGGCCAUUACUGACGCUGAGACACGAGAGCGUGGGGAGC
rnacentral:rRNA from 1 species